UCUUGGCUGGCUCAGACGGUAUAGUGUCUGCCUGCAAUGCAGGAAACCCGGGCGGGUUCGAUCCCUGGGUCAGGAA
rnacentral:tRNA from 1 species